rnacentral:rRNA from 1 species
GCCUACGGGGCGCAGCAGUGAGGAAUAUUGGUCAAUGGGAGAGAUCCUGAACCAGCCAAGCCGCGUGAGGGAAGACGGCCCUAUGGGUUGUAAACCUCUUUUGUCGGAGAACAAAACCCGGGACGUGUCCCGGACUGCGUGUAUCCGAAGAAAAAGCAUCGGCUAACUCCGUGCCAGCAGCCGCGGUAAUACGGAGGAUGCGAGCGUUAUCCGGAUUUAUUGGGUUUAAAGGGUGCGUAGGCGGUCCGUUAAGUCAGCGGUAAAAUUGCGGGGCUCAACCCCGUCGAUCCGUUGAAACUGGCAGA